UACAGAGGGUGCGAGCGUUGUCCGGAAUCACUGGGCGUAAAGGGCGCGUAGGCGGUCUUGUAAGUCGGGGGGUGAAAUGCUGCGGCUCAACCGCAGCGCUGCCUUCGAGACUGCAAGACUGGAGCACGGUAGAGGCGGAUGGAAUUCCCGGUGUAGCGGUGGAAUGCGUAGAGAUCGGGAAGAACACCAAUGGCGAAGGCAGUCCGCUGGGCCGUUGCUGACGCUGAGGCGCGACAGCGUGGGGAGCAAACAGG
rnacentral:rRNA from 1 species